CGAGAUCGAGAGAUGGAGCAAAUCCCAAAAAUAACGUCCCAGUUCGGACUGUAGUCUGCAACCCGACUACACGAAGCUGGAAUCGCUAGUAAUCGCGGAUCAGAAUGCCGCGGUGAAUACGUUCCCGGGUCUUGUACACACCGCCCGUCACACCAUGGGAGUCAGUAACGCCCGAAGUCAGUGACCUAACCGAAAGGGAGGAGCUGCCGAAGGCGGGACGGAUGACUGGGGUGAAGUCGUAACAAGGUACC
rnacentral:rRNA from 1 species